GACGUAGGGCGCGAGCGUUGUCCGGAUUUAUUGGGCGUAAAGAGCUCGUAGGCGGCUUGUCGCGUCGACUGUGAAAACCCAUGGCUCAACCAUGGGCUUGCAGUCGAUACGGGCAGACUAGAGUGCGGUAGGGGAGAUCGGAAUUCCUGGUGUAGCGGUGAAAUGCGCAGAUAUCAGGAGGAACACCGGUGGCGAAGGCGGAUCUCUGGGCCGUAACUGACGCUGAGGAGCGAAAGCAUGGGGAGCGAACAGG
rnacentral:rRNA from 1 species